UACGUAGGGGGCAAGCGUUGUCCGGAUUUAUUGGGCGUAAAGGGCGCGUAGGCGGUCAGCACAAGUCAGUUGUGAAAUCUCCGAGCUUAACUCGGAACGGUCAACUGAUACUGUGCGACUAGAGUGCGGAAGGGGCAACUGGAAUUCUCGGUGUAGCGGUGAAAUGCGUAGAUAUCGAGAGGAACACCUGCGGCGAAGGCGGGUUGCUGGGCCGACACUGACGCUGAUGCGCGAAAGCCAGGGGAGCGAACGGG
rnacentral:rRNA from 1 species